CCUACGGGAGGCUGCAGUAGGGAAUCUUCCACAAUGGGCGCAAGCCUGAUGGAGCAACACCGCGUGAGUGAAGAAGGGUUUCGGCUCGUAAAGCUCUGUUGUUGGAGAAGAACGUGCGUGAGAGUAACUGUUCACGCAGUGACGGUAUCCAACCAGAAAGUCACGGCUAACUACGUGCCAGCAGCCGCGGUAAUACGUAGGUGGCAAGCGUUCACCGGAUUUAUUGGGCGUAAAGCGAGCGCAGGCGGUUGCUUAGGUCUGAUGUGAAAGCCUUCGGCUUAACCGAAGAAGUGCAUCGGAAACCGGGCAACUUGAGUGCAGAAGAGGACAGUGGAACUCCAUGUGUAGCGGUGGAAUGCGUAGAUAUAUGGAAGAACACCAGUGGCGAAGGCGGCUGUCUGGUCUGCAACUGACGCUGAGGCUCGAAAGCAUGGGUAGCGAACAGGAUUAGAUACCCCUGUAGUC
rnacentral:rRNA from 1 species